rnacentral:snoRNA from 1 species
UUUCAUGAUGAACGCUUUUUAAAUAUACGCUGGAAAUUACCGUCCAAGGUCUUCGGAUCACUGACGAUAACUAAUGGCUUUACUGAUC